GGGCGUAAGGGCGCGUAGGCGGUGAGAUGUGUGUGAUGUGAAAGCCCCGGGCUUAACCUGGGAAGUGCAUCGCAAACUAUCUGACUGGAGUACAAGAGAGGGUGGCGGAAUUUCCGGUGUAGCGGUGAAAUGCGUAGAGAUCGGAAAGAACGUCGAUGGCGAAGGCAGCCACCUGGCUUGAUACUGACGCUGAGGCGCGAAAGCGUGGGGAGCGAACAGGAUUAGAUACCCUGGUAGUCCACGCUGUAAACGAUGAAGACUAGAUGUUGGUAGGGGAACCUAUCAGUAUCGAAGCUAACGCGAUAAGUCUUCCGCCUGGGAAGUACGGCCGCAAGGUUGAAACUCAAAGGAAUUGACGGGGGCCCGCACAAGCGGUGGAGCAUGUGGUUUAAUUCGAUGCAACGCGAAGAACCUUACCUACCCUUGACAUCCUGCGAACCCGACUGAGAGGUUGGGGUGCCGAAAGGAACGCAGAGACAGGUGCUGCAUGGCUGUCGUCAGCUCGUGUUGUGAGAUGUUGGGUUAAGUCCCGUAACGAGCGCAACCCUUGUCCUUAGUUGCCAGCAAGUAAAGUUGGGGACUCUAAGGAGACUGCCGGUGAGGAACCGGAGGAAGGCGGGGA
rnacentral:rRNA from 1 species